rnacentral:rRNA from 1 species
GACGGAGGGUGCAAGCGUUGUUCGGAUUGACUGGGCGUAAAGGGCGUGUAGGCGGUUGGUCAAGUCUGAUGUGAAAGCCCGGGGCUCAGCCCCCGGAAGGGCAUCGGAAACUAGCCAGCUGGAGCGCGAUAGAGGGCAGUGGAAUUCCUGGUGUAGCGGUGAAAUGCGUAGAUAUCAGGAGGAACACCGGUGGCGAAGGCGGCGAUCUGGGUAGAUACUGACGCUG